rnacentral:rRNA from 1 species
AGAGUUUGAUCAUGGCUCAGGACGAACGCUGGCGGCGUGCUUAACACAUGCAAGUCGAACGGUGACCUCGAGAGCUUGCUCUUGGGUGAUCAGUGGCGAACGGGUGAGUAACACGUGAGGAACCUGCCCCAGACUCUGGAAUAACCCCGGGAAACCGGAGCUAAUACCGGAUACGACAUCAGGCCGCAUGGUCAUGGUGUGGAAAGUUUUUCGGUCUGGGAUGGCCUCGCGGCCUAUCAGCUUGUUGGUGAGGUAGUGGCUCACCAAGGCGACGACGGGUAGCCGGCCUGAGAGGGCGACCGGCCACACUGGGACUGAGACACGGCCCAGACUCCUACGGGAGGCAGCAGUGGGGAAUAUUGCACAAUGGGCGAAAGCCUGAUGCAGCGACGCCGCGUGAGGGAUGACGGCCUUCGGGUUGUAAACCUCUUUCAGUAGGGAAGAAGCGCAAGUGACGGUACCUACAGAAGAAGCACCGGCUAACUACGUGCCAGCAGCCGCGGUAAUACGUAGGGUGCGAGCGUUGUCCGGAAUUAUUGGGCGUAAAGAGCUUGUAGGCGGUUUGUCGCGUCUGCCGUGAAAAUCCGGGGCUCAACCCCGGACUUGCGGUGGGUACGGGCAGACUAGAGUGUGGUAGGGGAGACUGGAAUUCCUGGUGUAGCGGUGAAAUGCGCAGAUAUCAGGAGGAACACCGAUGGCGAAGGCAGGUCUCUGGGCCACUACUGACGCUGAGAAGCGAAAGCGUGGGGAGCGAACAGGAUUAGAUACCCUGGUAGUCCACGCCGUAAACGUUGGGAACUAGGUGUGGGUCUCAUUCCACGAGAUCUGUGCCGCAGCUAACGCAUUAAGUUCCCCGCCUGGGGAGUACGGCCGCAAGGCUAAAACUCAAAGGAAUUGACGG